GGUGCAUUAUCUGGUGAGACUUUUCACACAUUGUGGUCCAAAGGCAUUCCUACAAAUAUUUCUGCUAAUGACCAAAGAAUUGGUGACAGACAUCUACUGCAUCUCUUGAUGCACGAACACAUCUCUGGUUCUCUGCAGAAUUAAUCUGAGUACAGAACAGCCUAUCUAGUUGAGACCCAGGAUGGGAUGGAUUUCAAGAACAGUUGUCAUGUAAAGAGAAAUGGGAGCUCUGGUAGAAAGUGACAAUGAAGAUGAAGCCAUGCUGCCUUUCAAACACUGUUGGAAGUUCAGCAAAUCUAAAAAUGUUCCAAAUGUUCAGAAAUCCUUUUAGUACUGCUGGGUGAAUGAGGAGAAAGAACAAUAUAGUGAUGUAGUCAAUAACAGGGAGCACUUAGUGAGUCUUGGAAGCCAUUUCCCUUAGGAAAAAGAGUCCUUAUUAUUGUAAAGGUUGCCCUAUUAUUUGAACUGCUUCUAGCAGGAACAGAGCAAGAGAUGUAAAUUAAAGGAAAACUGACCACAAAGAUACCUUAUGACAUCAACUUAAAAAUACCUUAGCCCUUGAGUUAUUUUAAACUUUUUUGAUCAGUCAAAGCAUACUUUCCAAUAAAAACUCAGUUUUCCUGCUGAAUCUGACAGAGACUUUUCCUUUCAGUUUGACAUCAGUGUUGGGAGCGAAAGAGUCCACAUGUUAACAAGAAAACCCUGCCCCUUAAGACAGUCACUUCCUUCUCCCUGAGAUUUGGUUCAAGAAUACUGUUUUUAAGACUUAAA